ACAAAUAAGUCAAUCUUCAAUCUCUAUGCAUUGCAAAUGCAUAAGUAUAAGCGUAACACACAUCUAUUAAGUGAAUGAGAUAUUGUCGCGUUUUAAGUGUUUAAACAUUCACGAUCACACAUUAUAAUAACACACUAAAAAAAUAUGUUGUUGAUUUGACCAAAUCCUUGGAUCGAAUUAGUUAAAUCAACAACAUUUUUUUUCAAUGCACAUAUUCAACAUGAGAAGCAAAUAAAAUAUAUUCUAUAUAUAUUAUAUGUUUAUUUCAGUAUUGCUCACCUCUUCGGUUGCGUUCUUGAGAUAUUCAUUGAUAUUAUUAACUAAACCAGUGCUAUGCUCCUUAAGUGUGUUAAAAAAUUCGUCUUGGUUGGGCAGAUGUUCC